GGAAGGAUCAUUACAGAAUUGUCAACGGGUUGUUGCUGGUCCUCGAACGGGGACAUGUGCACGCUCUGUUUACACAUCCACUCACACCUGUGCACCCUCCGUAGUUCUGUGGUCUGGGGGACCCUGUCUUCCUGCCGUGGUUCUACGUCUUUACACACACACUGUAAUAAAGUCUUAUGGAAUGUAUGCCGCGUCUAACGCAAUACAAUACAACUUUCAGCAACGGAUCUCUUGGCUCUCGCAUCGAUGAAGAACGCAGCGAAAUGCGAUAAGUAAUGUGAAUUGCAGAAUUCAGUGAAUCAUCGAAUCUUUGAACGCACCUUGCGCCCCUUGGCUAUUCCGAGGGGCAUGCCUGUUUGAGUAUCAUGAACACCUCAACUCUCAUGGUUCGCCGUGAUGAGCUUGGACUCUGGGGGUUUUGCUGGCCUGCGGUCGGCUCCCCUCAAAUGAAUCAGCCUCCCAGUGUUUGGUGGCAUCACGGGUGUGAUAAAUAUCUACGCUCGCAGUUGUCCGCCAGGUAACCUUUGGUGACAAAGGUUCGCUGGAGCUCACAGAUGUCUCUCCUCAGCGAGGACAGCUUUUUGAACGUUCGAUCUCAAA
rnacentral:rRNA from 1 species